rnacentral:rRNA from 1 species
GAUGAACGCUGGCGGCGUGCCUAAUACAUGCGAGUCGAGCGAACGGACGAGAAGCUUGCUUCUCUGAUGUUAGCGGCGGACGGGUGAGUAACACGUGGAUAACCUACCUAUAAGACUGGGAUAACUUCGGGAAACCGGAGCUAAUACCGGAUAAUAUUUUGAACCGCAUGGUUCAAAAGUGAAAGACGGUCUUGCUGUCACUUAUAGAUGGAUCCGCGCUGCAUUAGCUAGUUGGUAAGGUAACGGCUUACCAAGGCAACGAUGCAUAGCCGACCUGAGAGGGUGAUCGGCCACACUGGAACUUAGACACGGUCCAGACUCCUACGGGAGGCAGCAGUAGGGAAUCUUCCGCAAUGGGCGAAAGCCUGACGGAGCAACGCCGCGUGAGUGAUGAAGGUCUUCGGAUCGUAAAACUCUGUUAUUAGGGAAGAACAUAUGUGUAAGUAACUGUGCACAUCUUGACGGUACCUAAUCAGAAAGCCACGGCUAACUACGUG